rnacentral:rRNA from 1 species
GACGAACGCUGGCGGCGUGCUUAACACAUGCAAGUCGAACGGAAAGGCCCUGCUUGCAGGGUGCUCGAGUGGCGAACGGGUGAGUAACACGUGGGUGAUCUGCCCCUUACUUUGGGAUAAGCCUGGGAAACUGGUCUAAUACUGGAUAGGACCAUGCUGUAGGUGGUGUGGUGGAAAGAUUAGUUUCGGUAAGGGAUGAGUUCGCGGCCUAUCAGCUUGUUGGUGGGGUAAUGGCCUACCAAGGCGUCGACGGGUAGCCGGCCUGAGAGGGUGGACGGCCACAUUGGGACUGAGAUACGGCCCAGACUCCUACGGGAGGCAGCAGUGGGGAAUAUUGCACAAUGGGCGCAAGCCUGAUGCAGCGACGCCGCGUGGGGGAUGACGGCCUUCGGGUUGUAAACUCCUUUCAGCCAUGACGAAGCCCUUGUGGUGACGGUAGUGGUAGAAGAAGCACCGGCUAACUACGUG